UACGGAGGGGGCUAGCGUUGUUCGGAAUUACUGGGCGUAAAGCGCACGUAGGCGGCUUUGUAAGUUAGAGGUGAAAAGCCCCAGGGCUUAACCCCUGGAAUUGCCUUUAAGACUGCAUCGCUAGAAUCGUGGAGAGGUGAGUGGAAUUCCGAGUGUAGAGGUGAAAUUCGUAGAUAUUCGGAAGAACACCAGUGGCGAAGGACGACUCAC
rnacentral:rRNA from 1 species